ncrna:unclassified sequences malK-I RNA
UACAAUGCGUGUGCGGCUCUCCACCUUUCAGCCGUAUGCAGCUUAAAAAAGGAGGAAAAGGUAAGGCCCGUGGCUCGGGCUGCGGCAGUGUGGAGACCUGUCGCAAUGCGUGCGGCGAAAGCCCUCGCGAGCCUAUCCGCGCGGAGGCGGGAUAGGCAGAGCCGGAAAACAUGGCA